rnacentral:lncRNA from 10 species
AAACUGUCAGAGGUGCUCAUGGGUGGCCCAAGAACAAGGAAACUGAAGUGGCCUCACCAAGGGGGUCAGCCUCUGUUUCUGCUGAUGCUAUGUAAUACUGAGUGUGGAUCCUCUGCUCUGUGGGUGGUGCUCUGUGGCAACGGGCUGUCAGAGUGGACCAGUACUCUGAAGAGGAAAAAAUUAUCUGUGUGAAGAAACAUGGAUUCACUUCAAACCUGUCCUUUCCGAGCUACACUGAGUAAACUGGGACAGCUUCCGGUCCUCCAUCCAGGUCACAACCCCACCCCCACAGUCCUCUGGGUAAACUCUGGUAUGAAAAAUUCAUUUCGGAUUUGACCAAGGAGCUCAGAAGUUUAUGUGAUGGGGAGCAUAGACUAUAUCUUGGGAACAAUUAGGUCUUCAAGAGGUCUCCAUCCUCUGCCUACUUACAAACAGAACACAGCUCAGCUCAUGAAGCAUGAAGUGUAUUUAGGGAGAAAAAAAACUCAUUCAUCAGCCUCAGAGAUGCCAAGAAAGGAAAUGCCUUAUGUAUGAAUGAUAAAAAGCACAUAUUUUUCUUGCUCUGAGUUUACAUAUCCCAUAUGGGAUAAAAGGAAAUCCAAGUGUCACCACCAUACCAAGUGCCUCAGAUGAGAAGAGUUUCUCAGUCUUCAAGGGUAAAAUAACAGUGUGGACACCAAAAGGCCAAAGGUGUUCUGUCCUACACCGGGAGGAAGAAAUGCUACACAGAGAGGCUGAGAAGAAUCUGAACAAACAGGCCUUGCUGGAUUUCCCCUUCAGUUUAUUGCCAUUUGCUUGCACUUUUUGUCGAAUCACAUUUCUACAUGGUGUUAACCAAACAUAAAAUACAGUUUUCCCUGGGUCUUUGCAUCUUCAUUUCUGAAGGUUCCCCUGUCACAUAAAAUGUUGAUUAAAUAAAUUUGUUACAUUUUUCCCUUGCUAAUCUGUCUUUUGUUAUAGGAGAGUUGGCUGUGACCCUUGUGAUGAAUGAGAAGAGGUAUUACCUUUUCACCCCUACACUCCCAUGGGUAUGUCCAGGGUUACACACAAUUCCUCACAUGCUAACUAAGACACCAUCCCACAAGAAAGCCUAUCAGUAGACAAUUGCAUGACACUGACAUUAUUAUAAUUGGAAACUUAAAUCUGUUGUAUAUAUUAAAUUGUGUUAAAAUACAUAUAACAUAAAGUUUACCAUCUUAACCAUUUUAAAAUGAACAGUUUGGUGGCUGGGCGUGGUGGCUCAUGCCUGUAAUCCCAGCAUUCUGGGAGGCCGAGGUGGGCGGAUCACGAGGUCAGGAGAUCAAGACCAUUCUGUGAAUGGUGAAACCCUGUCUCUACUAAAAAUACAAAAAAUUAGCCUGGCGUGGUGGCAGGUGCCUCUAGUCCCAGCUACUCGGG